rnacentral:rRNA from 1 species
AUUGAACGCUGGCGGAAUGCUUUACACAUGCAAGUCGAACGGUAGAGGGGCAACCCUUGAGAGUGGCGAACGGGUGAGUAAUGUAUCGGAACAUGCCCAGUCGUGGGGGAUAACGUAGCGAAAGUUACGCUAAUACCGCAUACGAUCUAUGGAUGAAAGCGGGGGAUCGCAAGACCUCGCGCGACUGGAGUGGCCGAUAUCAGAUUAGGUAGUUGGUGGGGUAAAGGCCUACCAAGCCGACGAUCUGUAGCUGGUCUGAGAGGACGACCAGCCACACUGGGACUGAGACACGGCCCAGACUCCUACGGGAGGCAGCAGUGGGGAAUUUUGGACAAUGGGCGCAAGCCUGAUCCAGCCAUUCCGCGUGCAGGAAGAAGGCCUUCGGGUUGUAAACUGCUUUUGUACGGAACGAAACGCGCUGAGCUAAUACCUCGGCGUAAUGACGGUACCGUAAGAAUAAGCACCGGCUAACUACGUGCCAGCAGCCGCCGUAAUAC